rnacentral:rRNA from 1 species
UAGGGAAUCUUCGGCAAUGGGGGCAACCCUGACCGAGCAACGCCGCGUGAGUGAAGAAGGUUUUCGGAUCGUAAAGCUCUGUUGUAAGAGAAGAACGUGUGUGAGAGUGGAAAGUUCACACAGUGACGGUAACUUACCAGAAAGGGACGGCUAACUACGUGCCUGCAGCCGUGGUAAUACGUAGGUCCCGAGCGUUGUCCGGAUUUAUUGGGCGUAAAGCGAGCGCAGGCGGUUUAAUAAGUCUGAAGUUAAAGGCAGUGGCUUAACCAUUGUUCGCUUUGGAAACUGUUAAACUUGAGUGCAGAAGGGGAGAGUGGAAUUCCAUGUGUAGCGGUGAAAUGCGUAGAUAUAUGGAGGAACACCGGUGGCGAAAGCGGCUCUCUGGUCUGUAACUGACGCUGAGGCUCGAAAGCGUGGGGAGCAAACAGG